UACAGGGGGGGCAAGCGUUGUUCGGAAUUACUGGGCGUAAAGGGCUUGUAGGUGGCCGAUUAAGUCCGACGUGAAAUCCCCAGGCUUAACCUGGGAACUGCGUCGGAUACUGAUUGGCUUGAAUCCGGGAGAGGGAUGCGGAAUUCCAGGUGUAGCGGUGAAAUGCGUAGAUAUCUGGAGGAACACCGGUGGCGAAGGCGGCAUCCUGGACCGGCAUUGACACUGAAAAGCGAAAGCCAGGGGAGCAAACGGG
rnacentral:rRNA from 1 species